rnacentral:rRNA from 1 species
UGGGGAAUAUUGGACAAUGGGGGGCAACCCUGAUCCAGCAAUGCCGCGUGUGUGAGGAAGGUUUUCGGAUUGUAAAGCACUUUCGACGGGGACGAUGAUGACGGUACCCGUAGAAGAAGCCCCGGCUAACUUCGUGCCAGCAGCCGCGGUAAUACGAAGGGGGCUAGCGUUGCUCGGAAUGACUGGGCGUAAAGGGCGUGUAGGCGGUUUGUACAGUCAGAUGUGAAAUCCCCGGGCUUAACCUGGGGGCUGCAUUUGAUACGUGCAGACUAGAGUGUGAGAGAGGGUUGUGGAAUUCCCAGUGUAGAGGUGAAAUUCGUAGAUAUUGGGAAGAACACCGGUGGCGAAGGCGGCAACCUGGCUCAUAACUGACGCUGAGGCGCGAAAGCGUGGGGAGCAAACAGGAUUAGAUACCCUGGUAGUCCACGCUGUAAACGAUGUGUGCUAGAUGUUGGGUAACUUAGUUAUUCAGUGUCGCAGUUAACGCGUUAAGCACACCGCCUGGGGAGUACGGCCGCAAGGUUG